rnacentral:tRNA from 1 species
GGGAAAGUGACUCAGUGGUAGAGUGUUUGCCUUGCAUGCAUAAGGCCCUGGGUUCGAUUCCUCAGCCCCA